rnacentral:rRNA from 1 species
CGCACGGGUGAGUAACACGUAGGUAAUGUACCUUUGGGUGGGGAAUAACUUAGGGAAACUUAAGCUAAUACCGCAUAAUGCAGCGGCUCCUUCGGGAGACAGUUGUUAAAGAUUUAUCGCCUAAAGAGCAGCCUGCGGCAGAUUAGCUAGUUGGUAAGGUAACGGCUUACCAAGGCUACGAUCUGUAUCCGACCUGAGAGGGUGGUCGGACACACUGACACUGAAUAACGGGUCAG